UUUUUGCAGUGCUACUGUGAUGCUCCUUGAUUGGGGCUCCUGUAGCUCAGAAACUACCUGUGUGUUAGGCAGUUGAGCCUGCGCAACAUAAUGGAGAGGCAAGGAUGCCUAGGAGGCAGGAAGGUAUUCCUGCCCAGCCAGUUCGUGUUGUGACUCGAAGAGCAGCAGAGAAAGCUGUUCAAAGCCCUGCCUAUAACCUGUGUUGGAACAAGCUUGGCUCAGUGUUUCUGAAAGAGAGACCUCUUUGAGCCCAGCCUGGGCUUGGCUGCAAGAGUCCAGCUGCUUCUAACUGUCUGGUAAUUAAGCCACCUUGAAAUUCCUCCAAGAAAGAUCCACGAGCUGCUGUUGACCAGCUGUGACCUCCCUGGCUUUAUCCGCAGUCAGAAGCCUGUGCUGUCUUAAAGUCACACACCAGCAUGCCUAGGGACUCUUCCACCUUGCUUACUGCAUCGCCCGUAUACAGGCAAUCUAUUUAUAUAACACUGAGCGAGCGCAAGGCUCUGCCUGUAAAUCUGAGCUUAUUUCUGAGAAAUUCAAAACAUCCUGCUCAGUCCCUCUCAUUUAUGUUCCCUUGCAGCUAUUAAAGAUGAGGGACACUUUUUAUGUUACUGCCCGUAAAUGGGCUGCCCCUUGCUGGAAGCAGUAAGGGCUCUUUAACAUAAAUUCUGUUUCUCCAGGAAGUGUAAGUCUGCAGAAUCUCCGAAAUUUAUUCCUGUAUCUUAAUAUCUGCUUCCAAUCUGGUGGCAGGAGUUUUCAUUCCCUUGGAAGACUGGAUUGAUUAGCAAGCUUGGUCCUGCCGUUUCCAGGAACCACAGUCCUGGCCAGCUGGCCAGGUAGCGUCACAUGUCACAGUAUGUAGGCCCAUCCUUUGCCUCAGUCCAUGUGCCAGAAGCGUCAGCUGCUCGAGUUCACCGUUAAGCAGUAAAGGUUCACCCAGUGGUACUGGGACAUGGUCCAUGUGGCUUUUGUCAGACUGUAGCAGGCUGACUCCCAGAGCAAAUAAUGUCACCUGUGUAUCUGCCUCCAAACUUGGUGCCAGCUCCUGGGUUGCUGAGACGAUCAAGUGUGAUAACAUGCAAAGUGCCUAGCCCCAAAUAGGUGUCAGAUAAUUACAGCGUUUGCUGCCAGGCAUUGGUGAUUAAAAGUGGUUAAUGAUUUUUUUUUAUAUAAAAAUAAAGAUUAAAAGGAGUAAAGUUGCAUAUACUAAGUUUUAAAUGAACUAUACCGAUGAUUGCUUCAGGAAUCUAGAGUCUGGAGCAUGGCUCUUUAAUAAAAAUACACCUGGCUGGUGUGGCUCCGUUGGUUGAGCAUUGCCCUGUGCACUGAAA